rnacentral:rRNA from 1 species
CCUACGGGGGGCAGCAGUGGGGAAUAUUGGGCAAUGGGCGCAAGCCUGACCCAGCAACGCCGCGUGAAGGAAGAAGGCUUUCGGGUUGUAAACUUCUUUUAAGGGGGAAGAGCAGAAGACGGUACCCCUUGAAUAAGCCACGGCUAACUACGCGCCAGCAGCCGCGGUAAUACGUAGGUGGCAAGCGUUGGCCGGAUUUACUGGGUGUAAAGGGCGUGCAGCCGGAGAAACAAGUCAGAUGUGAAAUCCACGGGCUCAACCCGUGAACUGCAUGUGAAACUGUUUCCCUUGAGUGUUGGAGAGGUAAUUGGAAUUCCUUGUGUAGGGGUGAAAUGUGUAGAUAUAAGGAAGAACACCAGUGGCGAAGGCGGAUUACUGGACGAUAACUGACGGUGAGGCGCGAAAGCGUGGGGAGCAAACAGGAUUAGAUACCCCAGUAGUC